AGACGUCUACAUUGAUACCCGGGUAGUCCCAGCCGUAAACUAUGCGCGUUAGGUGUAUCGGUGACCACGAGUCACCGAGGUGCCGAAGGGAAACCGUGAAACGUGCCGCCUGGGAAGUACGGUCGCAAGGCUGAAACUUAAAGGAAUUGGCGGGGAGCACCACAACGGGUGGAGCCUGCGGUUUAAUUGGACUCAACGCCGGGAAGCUCACCGGAUAAGACAGCGGAAUGAUUGCCGGGCUGAAGACUCUGCAUGACUAGCUG
rnacentral:rRNA from 1 species